rnacentral:lncRNA from 1 species
CGGGUAGGGACGAUGAUCAAUAUCUUUUCAUUAAAACUCUAAACUCUCUGCUGUGUUCCCCUGCUUUUGAUUCUUCUUCUUCUUCUUCUUCUUCUUCUUCUUCUUCUUCUUCUUCUUCUGCAUGUUGUUUGCAUAACCUUGUGGUAUUAAGUAUGAUGUUGGGAUAGGCUAUUUUCAUCCUUUAGUUUUGACACUUAAAUUUUCAGGCUGAGCAGCUUCUUAAAGAUGAGAAUAUAAUGGCAGUCUAUGAGAUACUGGAUCAUUUCUGUGAAUUUGUCAACAUUCAAUUAUCAUAUAUUCGCAGACACAAGUAUUUUUUUUCCCUCUUAACAACACUUUUCCUCUUUUAAUCACUUUUUUCAAGUUUCUGACCAUGAACUGAAUUAGUUGUCCUGUAAUUGUGGUAUUUUAGGGACUGCCCUAAUGAUAUCAAUGAAGCAGUUUCAAGCCUCAUAUUCGCCUCUGCCAGAUGUGCAGAUCUCCCUGAGCUUCCUGCGAUUCGUAAGCUCUUCGGGGAGCGUUACGGGCAUAGGUUCACGACAGUGGCCGUUGAAUUGCUUCCUGGGAAUCUGGUCAACCGUGAGGUUGCCCAUUCUAGUGCUAACUGCUGAUUUUUCUUGCUUGUGAUCAGUUUUUUUUUUAAUCAUCAAUUAACAUGAAGAAUUUUGAUAAAAUCUUGACUACAGAUACAAGAAAAACUAUCCCCAAAAUCAGUUUCGGAUGAUGUGAAGUACAGAUUGAUUGAUGAAAUAGCUCGAGAUUACUGCUUACAGCCUGAAAUUUUGGCACUUGAAUACUUUCCCGAAUUGCAACACCAGGUAACUAGAUUAUGUUCUUUCAAUUAUUGUCUUUUGGUCAGAUUUUGAUGUUUCAUUGAAGUCCUACAUUGGUGCAGACUUCAGAUGGUAGUGAGAAGGAAGGAAAAAACAUACAAGUUGAUCCAUUGGCAAAGACUGCCACUCAUUUGAUCAGCCAAUGUCACUCUUAUUCCUAUCCAAAUUCUGAUACCAUUGGUGCUUCCCUUACUUGUUCUCCACCAGAUGACAUAAAAGCAGAAAACCGGAACAUCAGCCGGAUUUGUACAACCACUAGGAAACGAAAGGAUGAUGAUGAAAGGAUAAAAGCACCAUCUUCCUCGGAAACUUUGCCUCAGUUUUGUGAGGAAGUAGUUGUCUAUCUUGAUGACAUAGAGGAGUUACGGUCUUCCCGGAGAAAAGAAGCAGAUUGUCAAGAUCAGAGACUUUUCAAGUUCAAGUCACUGAGCAUGCCAACUAAAGGAGUGGUUGUGGAUGGCACCGACGGUGAUGAUGAAAGUUAUACGGAUAAUGUAGAGGAUGAGAAACCAAGCUCAAAUGCAAACAAUUCAAGGCGGAGGUCCUUUUCUCUUGAACCUUCAAGCAUGAAGGAUAUUGAUCACGAGAUAUAUUAUGAGAACCACAAGCAGCAAUCUCAUCACUACAGGAAACACCAGAAGAAAACAGUAGCAGAAAGGAAAGAAGCAACUUAUCUGCUGAAGAGAUCGAAACAACCUGGCUGCACGGAAUUGAGGGGUUACAUUCAGGCUAAUACUUUGAACAGUGAAGUAAAAACCUGCAGCUUGGAAAACCCAUGUUACAAUUGUAGUUUUGAUGACAGUGAAGAAAAGGUCCCUCCAGUUUGUGAUAAAGGAGGAAUUUUGGAUGAAAAGUUUUGCCAUUGCCGAUGUUCUUCCAACGACGAUACUAGACGUAUUAGAAUGAAAGAGAGUAGUAGUCCUACUCGGAAUCUGAGGAGAAGAAGCUACGACAAUGGUGCAAGUGUGUAUGGAGUUUUCACCUUGCCCAAAUUGGAAAAGGAAGAAAGCAUAGGGAAAGUGAAGGGAAAUGUUGGUGAUUCCCAUACGAGAAAAGGAACAGGUGGUCCUUAUUUGAGGGCCACGACAAUGCCACAAGAAAGGCCAAGAGAGAUUCACAGGUACAGCAUUCUUCGAACCAAUUCAAUGUCGAUUCACAACCCUAAUCACGUUCACCCUAAGCUGCCAGAGUAUGAAGACAUAGCAGCCAAAUUUAUGGCUCUCAAGAAGGAGCAUCUGCUACAUAAGCAGUGAUGAAGUAACCAACUGUUUAUUUUUCUUUCGCAUUGAAAGAUUCUCUAGUAUUCUUUUUGUUCUCCUGUCAUAUCAUAUGUUGAUGAUGAUGAUAUGGAGAGUUACUGUUUCAAUUAAAUCCAGGACAUGGUAAUUUGUUGUUAGAGCAGGGGGCAAUUGCUGAGAAUGAAGAAGCCUUAUAAUUUGUUAAAAUAAUAUGUUACGCCCAUGCAUACAAAGCAGCAGCAGAUUUACGUGAAUAUCAUUUAACAUUAUUUAUGAUUAUCUCUCAAUUGAAAUUAUGUAAAGACAAACUUAUUGACGAGGAUAUAUUUGAGAAAACAUGAUUACCUUUGCAUGCCUAAAAUAUGCUCUUGAAAUAGCAUUAUGAAAAGUGUAUGUUCAUAAAAUAUUCUUAAUUAAUUCCUUAUUAAUUGAUGUUUCCACGGUUAUUUUGUUUAUUUGGAUUCUUUGGUUUUGGUAAUAAGAAAAUAAGGAGAUUGAAGUAUGAUGAUGAUCAAACUUAUGUGGUAUCGAGUGAGUGGUUUGAGUGAUGAUGAGUUUGGUACUUGAUAGCCUAAGGUGAUAGGUAAAAGUAUUCAUGAGCUGAUUUGAUUUACCAUCCACAAAUAUAUAAAUAAAUUUUUAUUUUUAUAUAUUUUUAUAAUUAAAUUUAAAUAAAAAUAAUUUUAUUAUUUAUAAAAUAGCAAAACAAAUCAUUUCAGCUAGCCAAGUCUAGUCAGGCUCGAGCGGAAUUUUUUUGAAAUUGGGCUAAUUCUCGGCCUGAACAAUGAACACCUCUAGUAUACGAGAGAAAACAAAAAGGUUUAGUAAUUUUAUUUUUAUAAUAUUUGAAUAAUUUAAAUAAAUUAUGUAUUUUUCUAUACAAUUAAAAUUUUCUAUAUUUUCUAUAUUUUUUUAUAAUUUUUAAUAAUUUAUAGAUUUUUAAUAAUUUUUUAUGAUUUUUAUAAUCUAUACUUUUUUUAAAAAAUAGAAUUUUUUAGACUUUUUUUUUACUUAAAUAGUCAAUUAAAUUCUCAUAAAAUAAUAUUAAAAAAAUCAAUUAAGCCUUACACCUUAUCAUUUUUUCAUGUCAAUUGCUAAAUCAGUACUUAAUGGCCCAUCAGGGGCUUCAAUGGAGAAAAUGACGUCAAUGGGCUUAAUUAUGUAUUCAAAACCAUUAUUCAAAUGGCUCAAUUGGAUGCACUUUUAGAUGAGAGACUUAAUUGAUUUUUAAAUUAUUUUUAGAGAACUUAUUUGACAUUUUAACUUGGAUCUUGUAAUGUGUAAAUUUUUAUUUAUUAUAAAAGAUAAAAAUAUUCUCAUAAUAAUAUAAUUUAUUUUAGAAAAAAAAUUUUUUAAUAAUUUCUUAAAUGAGUUGAGAUGAGCGAUACAAACUCAAUUUAAAUAAAUUAUUAUAACAAAGAUAUACAUUUCUUUAUCUUAUUGGUGGCACACCAAAGGUAUAGUUAGACCAUAUAGAAUUUGCCAAGCACACUAAAAUAUGUUGAAAUGAAGGUGUUAAAGUUAAAUGGACCAUAGGAGGUUGGUUUAUAAUGAUGUGCCAUCAAACAGACAUUUUGUCAACCCAUUGAGGGGUUGACUUACCUGUUCUUAAAAAAUAGAUUUUUUAAAACCUACCAACAUUCCAACAUUAGCAAAGUUGACUUCACCUACACCCCACGUGACCAUAUAUAUUGAAAGUCGAAACGAAAAGAGGCAAAAGAGGCCUAUCAUUAGCCAAGCCCUCUCUUAUAUCAACUAAACUGGUGCCAACAUUAUAUAUAACGUUUACACCAUAUUUAAUUAUUUUGUUCUAAGUCAUUUUUAUCUAAACUUUUCAGGUCAUACAUGUUGUCGAAACUUUUUUUAUCGGUCGACUUUUUAUCUAAAAAAUGAAAAUGGCGCAACUUUGACUUCUUAUUAAUAAAAAAAUUAUUAAAGUAACCCUAGCCAAGAAUGCUUUGCUUAGUAUCCUAGAGAGAACAAUUUUUUCUGUGGCUUAGGAUGGAGGAGAGUGGUGGCGCAGAGGGUUUUGAAGGAGACAAGAUCUCCCUAUUGGUAGAGGAACUUGUCCAAUUAUCAGUAAAAAGCUCGGUGUGGUACCAAGCGAAAAACCAACCCUAUUAUGCACAAUAUGGACGAAGAAAUCUUAUAAUCCAGAUAGCUUCAGGGCACAAAUCAAAAGUAUUUGGAAGACAAGGAAGAAAUUCGAGAUUAAAUUGGCAGGACAAAAUCUUUUUUUGAUAAUGUUUAAGAGUGAAGAAGAUCUAGAAUUAGUUAUGGCGGGGCAACCAUAGCUGUUUCGGAAAAAUUUAGUAAUUUUUGAUAGGUUGACUAGAUCGAUGGAAAGAAGUCAAAUCUGACUUAAUUGAUCACUGUUUUGGAUUAAGAUUGGACCAUGUUCACCAGAAUUUGAUAAAAAAAGAUCUGAUGCAUGCUAUUGGCGUUACUUUUGGAGGUGUUUUGAGAUCUGAAAUUAAUGGAGAAUUCUGUCGGCUAAGAAUCAAAUUAGAUGUGCAAAAACCCUUGCGAAGGGGUAUUUUUGUCUCAACAGAAAAUCAAAGUAAGUCUUGGAUUUCUUUUAAAAUAUGAAAAUUUACCUACAUUCUGUUUUGGUUGUGGAAAGACGGGGCAUGGGCUCAUAGACUACCAAGAGUUUACACCUGUAGAAAGAAACAAAGUCAGAAUUGAUCCUCCUUUUUCUUUAGCUUUAAAAGCAGAAUUAAAUUUAGUUGGAAGAGAGAGUCUAAUGUUUAAAGCCAACUCAAAGAAGAUGCAGCCUCAAUGUUCAUACGUAGGUAAUACUGAGAAUUUUACUGAAUUAAAUCUAGAAGUUGAUGGAAAAAGUGUUAUAUCCCAAGCUAAUUCACAAUGUACAGAAAAAGAGAUAGCGUUAAAGCUGUAGGAGGAUAAAAUGGAUAUAGAAGAUAAGGCUAUCGGGGCAUCUAAUAAUUCUACAAGAACUUUGAAUCCAGCCAAAAAAUUGAGUUGGAAGUGAAUCAAGGUAGAAAGAAGGGUGGAUUCUUACAACGAUGAAAGUAGACUAAGAAAAAGAAAAUCAGAAGAGUGUGCUUUUGAAAAAGAUGAUUCAAAAAUCUCUUGUGAAGAUGAAACAAAGAGAAUGAAGUACAAGGGCAAAUAAUUUCAAACAGGAGAAUAUACAAUUUUGUCGGCUGAAUAUUUCCCACAGGAAUAUGAUUUUCACCAAUAUAGAUCGGCGGGUGCCAAAAGGCAUACUGACCGGGCACAAUGAAAACUAUAUGUUGAAAUGUCCGUGGAUUGGGGAGUCUACAAGCAACACGAAGGCUUUGGUAUUUGCUGAAGCAAGAUAAGCCCCAAAUGGUCUUCUUUAUGGAGACUAAAAUUGAUGAAAAGCGCAUGGAAAAAAUUAGAAGGAGAUGUGGUUUCGAGAAUGGAACUAAUGUAGGAACAGAAGGGUCUAGAGGUGGAAUUUGUAUGGCGUGGAAAACAGGAACUAAUGUAACUCUUAAAAAUUUCUCAAGAAGCCAUAUUGAUGUAAUGGUAAAGGAGGAAAAUAUCAAUGAAGAGUGACGGUUUACAGGAUUUUAUGGAUCACCUUAUGUUCAUGAUAAGAAUGCCUCGUGGAAUUUAUUAAAGCAAUUGGGUAAAGAUCAAAAUCACCCAUGACUGGUAUGUGGUGAUUUUAACGAAAUAAUGUAUUCUUAUGAGAAAAACAAUGGUCUAUCGGGGGAAGAAAAAAGAAUGGAAGCUUUUCGCGAAGUUCUAAAUGAAUGUCAGUUAAUGGACGUGGGUUACAUGGGGGUUUGGUUCAUAUGGGAGAGAGGAAACUUACCGGGAACAAAUAUUAAAGAAAGGCUGGAUAGAGGCAUGACGAAUGAGAAGUGGAUGCAACUUUUUCCAAGUGGAACUAUUCAUCAUUUUACACACUCAAUUUCAGAUCAUUGCCCCUUACUUAUAAAUACUAAUAAGGGAAAAAUCAAUAAAGGAAUCUCAAGUUUCAAAUUCGAGGCAUGGUGGACUUUGGAGGAAUCCAUUGAACAAGAGAUUAAAAAAGCGUGGGAGUUUUCAGAUGGAUCUAUAUGCGAAAAACGAGAGGCUACAAUUCAGAUUGGUGAAUUGGGCGAGCGUAAUAAAGAGGGACUGAGAUGGUUUAAAGAAUAGGCUCACAAAGGAACUUGAAGAACUACUUGAAAGCGAUAGAGAUGAUGCCACAAUGGCAAAGCUGAUUGAUAUUAGAAUUCGACUCAAAAUGGAAAUUGAAAAAGACGAAAUGUACUGGGAACAAAGGGCACGAGCUAAUUGGCUCCAAUUAGAGGAUAAGAACUCAGUAUUUUUUCACAAGUAUGCCUUAGUACGUAAACGAAUUAAUACUAUUACUACGCUGGAAGCUGAUGGAGGUCAUGAAAUUACUGAUGAGUCAGCAAUUAAUGAGGCUAUUCAAAUUAUUUUCAAAAUUUAUUCACAUCGAAGUGAGUAGGGAAUUUAUCCCAUCUGCUAGAGGGUGUUAAGACUAAUAUUUCAUCCGACAUAAAUGAAGAUUUGCUAGUACCAUUUAAAGUAGAAGAGGUUUUUUCAGCUUUGAAAGGAAUGGGGCCUACUAAAGCGCCAAGUUGUGAUGGUUUUCCAGCAUUAUUUUUUCAGAGAUUCUGGCAUAUUGUAGGUAAGAAUGUUGAGAAAUUUUGCUUGGGAAUUCUGAAUGAUGGAAAAAUUUUUGAUUCUCUAAAUCUUACUGAUAUUGUACUUAUUCCAAAACUACCAAAACCCACAAGUCUAGCUAAUUUCAGACCCAUCUGCCUAUGCACAGUUUUACACAAAAUUGUGGCAAAAACAAUUGCAAAUCGGUUUCAGGAGGUCAUUAGAAGAAGUAUAAGGCCCAAAGUACUUUUGUUCUAGGAAGAUUAAUUACUGAUAACGUGCUAGUAGCUUACGAAAUCUUACACACGUUACGACAGAAACGAAUCGAAAAAAAAAGGGCUUAUGGUAGUUAAAUAAGAUAUGAGCAAAGCCUAUGAUAGAGUCGAAUGGUUUUUUUUUAAAGGAAGUUAUACUGAGAAUGGGUUAUGCAAAGGAAUGGGUGUCAUUGAUUAUGAAAUGCAUAUCCACAGUAUCUUACACAGUCAACAUUAAUGAAAGAAGAUGAAGGGUUUUUAAACCCACUUGAGAGCUCCGUCAGGGUGAUCCACUUAGUCAUUUUCUCUUUCUAAUAUGCAGUGAGGGACUCUCGUCUUUCAUAAGAAUAGCGACAACUGACGGUCUACUUAAAGGAGUAAGAGCAAGUCGAAGAGGGCCAGCGAUUUCCUAUCUACUGUUCGCAGACGAUUGUAUUUUGUUUGGCCAAGCGACAAAUAGAGGAGCAAGAAUAUUAAAAGGAAUUUUGGAAGAAUAUGAACAGUGCUCAGGACAAUGCGUGAAUUUUAACAAGUCAACGAUUUUCUACAGCUCAAAACAACAAAAAGGGACAAAGAAGAGGUAUCAAUAAUAUUAAGGGUAAGAUGCUCCACAAAUUUGGAAAAAUAUCUUGGCCUCCCUAAUGUGGUAGGCAGAAGGAAAAAUGAAGCUUUCCAGAAUCUAAAGGAUAAACUUAAUUCAAAGAUUGAUAGUUGGAGCACAAGACUACUGUCAUAAGGGGGUAAGGAGGUUUUUAUCAAGUCAGUGCUUCAAGCAAUUCCAGCUUAUGCUAUGUCAUGUUUUCUCCUACCAAAAUCUUUUUAUGGGGAGCUGGAAAAUAUUUUCGCUAAAUUCUGGUGACAAAAAGGGCAGGGAAGAAAAGGAAUACCCUGGUGUCAAUGGAGAUAUAUGUGCUGAUCAAAAGAAGAAGGGGGUACGGGUUUUAGAAAUCUGUUGCAAUUUAAUAUCUCACUACUAGCAAAGCAAGGAUGGAGGAUCAUAAUAAUCAGGAUUCGUUGGUUACGCAAGUUUUUAAAAUAAAAUAUUUUCCCAAUGAGUAUUUUUUAAAUUCUUGAUUUGGAAAAACUAGCUCUUAUAUUUGGAAAAGCAUAUGGGCAGCAAGAGGUAUUUUAGAAAAAGGUAUAUGCUGGAGGGUUGGCACAGGUUCAAACAUUUCUAUUAAUGAUGAUGCGUGGAUUCCAGAUACUGUUAAUUUUAGAUUAUCUUCAGUUGUUAAUACUAUGCGAGAUGCAAAGGUUAGUGAGCUGAUAAAUAGGAAUGCGAGAAUAUAGGAUAGAGAACUCAUCAAUAAUACCUUUUCAACGACCGAUGCUGGGAAAAUCCUCCAGAUACCUUUAGCACGCACACCUCAUGAAGAUCUGCUUGUAUGGGGAGGUGAACAUUCAGGGGAAUUCUCGGUACACAGCGCCUAUAAACUAUUACAAAAAUCUAAUGAAAUUCCAAGAGCUUAUCCUUUACAAACCAACUACGGGAACUUUUAUAAGAAAUUAUGGCGCCUAAAUCUACCGACUAAAAUAAAGAUUAUAGUAUGGAGAAUUUUUUGGAACUAUUUUCCUAAGAAGGUUAAUAUGCAACACUGGAAACUUGUUAGUUCAAACUAUCCCUGAAGUGGAAAAAGAAAUGAAACAAUCGAUCAUAUCUUCCGAGAAUGUCUUGUCACAGUGGAAGUUUGGGCACUAUGAAAACUUCAAAAUAUUCUUAUGAAUCCAAACAUGGAUUUUUUUAUAGUGGAUUACCUGAGACUUUGGAUAGUUCACUACAUGCUAGAAUAUACUUUUCUACUGUAGUCUCUGGGCUAUCUAGGGCGAAAGAAAUAAAAGAAAAAUGAGCAAAGAAUUAGUACAGGUCAAGAAAUAAUGAACUUCAUCAAUAAUUAUCUUGCUGAACUUAAUGGUCUUGAUAAGAUGAAGUCAAAAAGAGAGAAGAAAAAUAAAAGAUGGACCCAUCCACCUAAUGAGUUCGUCAAAAUUAAUUUUGAUGGUGCCUAUGAUUUGACUCAUGAAUAAUCUGCCUCAGGAAUAGUAACCAGAAAUAAAGAAGGAGCUGUUUUACUCACUUGCUCAGAGGUUCACCACGAAGCAACUUCUGCCUUUACAGCUGAAGCAAUCGCGUGUAGAAAAGCGGUCCAAAUAGCAGUCGAACAGGAAUGGCCGAAAAUUAUUAUAGAAGGUGAUUCCCUCACAAUAAUAAAGAAAUGUUUAUCAAAGAGUCAAGAUCGAUCAUGUAUUGAAGCAUAUAUAUAUAUGAUAUUAAGCAGAAACUAAAUAGAUCUAGGGGUUCAAUGUUAAAACACACACCAAGAUUGGCAAAUGCUCUCGCGCAUAUAGUGGCAACAGAGUUGCUGAAAAGGAAAUAAGAACUGUACCUGGUAAUGGAAGUCCCAGAAUAUGCUAAAGAACAAAGACAGAUCGACCGAAGAAGGGAACUAGAUUGAGGAGAGAAUGAAGAAGAAAAGAAUAAGAGGAAAGAAAAAGAAAGAAGAUGCAUCAGUUUGAAAAGAACAUCUUUCCAUAAAAAUUGAACCGUCAAAAGCAAAGAAAAGAAAUGAAGUCUCCAGAUGAAUAGACAGGGUUCAGAAGUUCUGUUUGGGCAUUAAUUAGGCGUAAUAAUUAUGAAUCUCUAGACUGUUUCGAUUAAAAUAUCUAGAUUUUCUUAGCUUUUUGGGCUCCUUUGUAUUGGGUCGUUUUAGUAGAUUAGCUUUGCUUAGCUGUUUUCACUGUUAGGUUUUGUAAUUCAUUUUCCAAUAAUAAGCCCAGUCUGAAAGUUUC